rnacentral:tRNA from 1 species
UGCCUAUUUAGCUCAGCUGGUUAGAGCAUCCGUUUCAUACGCGGAAGGUAACUCGUUCAAUUCGAGUAAUAGGCAUC